rnacentral:rRNA from 1 species
UACAGAGGUCUCAAGCGUUGUUCGGAUUCAUUGGCGUAAAGGGUGCGUAGGUGGCGCUGUAAGUCGGGUGUGAAAUUUCGGAGCUUAACUCCGAAACUGCAUUCGAUACUGCGGUGCUUGAGGACUGGAGAGGAGACUGGAAUUCGAUGGUGUAGCAGUGAAAUGCGUAGAUAUCAAAGAGGAACACCAGUGGCGAAGGCGAGUCCCUGGACAACACCUGACACUGAGGCACGAAAGCUAGGGGAGCAAACAGG